rnacentral:rRNA from 1 species
UACGGGGGGAGCAAGCGUUGUUCGGAUUUACUGGGCGUAAAGGGCGCGUAGGCGGCCAGCGCAAGUCAGUUGUGAAAUCUCCGGGCUUAACUCGGAACGGUCAACUGAUACUGCGCGGCUAGAGUGCAGAAGGGGCAACUGGAAUUCUCGGUGUAGCGGUGAAAUGCGUAGAUAUCGAGAGGAACACCAGUGGCGAAGGCGAGUCCCUGGACAACUCCUGACGCUGAGGCACGAAAGCUAGGGGAGCAAACAGG